rnacentral:rRNA from 1 species
GACGAACGCUGGCGGCGUGCUUAACACAUGCAAGUCGAACGGAAAGGCCCUGCUUGUUUCUCGUGCUCGAGAGGCGAGAGGAACAGUAAGAUGUGCGUCACCUGCCCUUGGCUUAAGGCUGACUUAAGGGAACUGAGACCGAUUACGGCUACGCGCUCCUGCUGCUGGGGGGGGAUGCUUUGGCGGUGGGGGAUGGGCACGCGGCCUAUCAGCUUGUUGGUGGGGUAAUGGCCUACCAAGGCCACGACGGGUAGCCGGCCUGAGAGGGUGACCGGCCACACUGGGACUGAGAUACGGCCCAGACUCCUACGGGAGGCAGCAGUGGGGAAUAUUGCACAAUGGGCGGAAGCCUGAUGCAGCAACGCCGCGUGAGGGAUGACGGCCUUCGGGUUGUAAACCGCUUUCGCCUGGGACGAAGCGUGAGUGACGGUAAUGGGUAAAGAAGCACCGGCUAACUACGUG